UGAGUAACACGUGGGUAACCUGCCUGUAAGACUGGGAUAACUCCGGGAAACCGGAGCUAAUACCGGAUAGUUCCUUGAACCGCAUGGUUCAAGGAUGAAAGACGGUUUCGGCUGUCACUUACAGAUGGACCCGCGGCGCAUUAGCUAGUUGGUGGGGUAAUGGCUCACCAAGGCGACGAUGCGUAGCCGACCUGAGAGGGUGAUCGGCCACACUGGGACUGAGACACGGCCCAGACUCCUACGGGAGGCAGCAGUAGGGAAUCUUCCGCAAUGGACGAAAGUCUGACGGAGCAACGCCGCGUGAGUGAUGAAGGUUUUCGGAUCGUAAAGCUCUGUUGUUAGGGAAGAACAAGUGCGAGAGUAACUGCUCGCACCUUGACGGUACCUAACCAGAAAGCCACGGCUAACUACGUGCCAGCAGCCGCGGUAAUACGUAGGUGGCAAGCGUUGUCCGGAAUUAUUGGGCGUAAAGGGCUCGCAGGCGGUUUCUUAAGUCUGAUGUGAAAGCCCCCGGCUCAACCGGGGAGGGUCAUUGGAAACUGGGAAACUUGAGUGCAGAAGAGGAGAGUGGAAUUCCACGUGUAGCGGUGAAAUGCGUAGAGAUGUGGAGGAACACCAGUGGCGAAGGCGACUCUCUGGUCUGUAACUGACGCUGAGGAGCGAAAGCGUGGGGAGCGAACAGGAUUAGAUACCCUGGUAGUCCACGCCGUAAACGAUGAGUGCUAAGUGUUAGGGGGUUUCCGCCCCUUAGUGCUGCAGCUAACGCAUUAAGCACUCCGCCUGGGGAGUACGGUCGCAAGACUGAAACUCAAAGGAAUUGACGGGGGCCCGCACAAGCGGUGGAGCAUGUGGUUUAAUUCGAAGCAACGCGAAGAACCUUACCAGGUCUUGACAUCCUCUGACAACCCUAGAGAUAGGGCUUUCCCUUCGGGGACAGAGUGACAGGUGGUGCAUGGUUGUCGUCAGCUCGUGUCGUGAGAUGUUGGGUUAAGUCCCGCAACGAGCGCAACCCUUGAUCUUAGUUGCCAGCAUUUAGUUGGGCACUCUAAGGUGACUGCCGGUGACAAACCGGAGGAAGGUGGGGAUGACGUCAAAUCAUCAUGCCCCUUAUGACCUGGGCUACACACGUGCUACAAUGGACAGAACAAAGGGCUGCGAGACCGCAAGGUUUAGCCAAUCCCAUAAAUCUGUUCUCAGUUCGGAUCGCAGUCUGCAACUCGACUGCGUGAAGCUGGAAUCGCUAGUAAUCGCGGAUCAGCAU
rnacentral:rRNA from 1 species